ACAGUGACAUCUCCCUCAUGCUCCUGCGUCGAUGACUUUCCCAUCGCUAUGAACCAUGUGUAACCUUGAGCUAUGAACGAAGGUACAACAGCUCUGUGCUGGAGGCCUUCUGUCUGGGUGUGGCUCAUUCCCAAGCCAAUGCUGACGGAGGGUCAUCCUUCAGGGAGUUGGUGCCCCAUGAUCAGUCCUCAUGGUGGCCCAUGGAGCAGCUGGUCUGUGUUACAUGUGCCCUACAACCCUAGGACUUGAAAGGGCGUACUCAAGACGCCAUGGGCUUCAGCAAAAGGAUUUGGAGGAAUCCAGCGGGAACUGACCUUGAAGACUCCUCCCCGAGGAAUGGCUGCCGUAGUAUCUGAAGGAGCCAUGCAAGCCAAAGGGGGAAGCAAUGAAAAGUUUUACCCAGAUGUAAAGCCAAUAAACCACAACAAUGACCAGCCUGGAAGAUGCACGGAUGGCACCUACAUCUAAUCGGAGUUUAGGGGACACUCAAUAGGAGGGAAAUCCUACUCUAAACCCAGCCAAUGAGCAGUGGCUGAGGUCAUGGAUCUCAGAGAGGAACCCACUGCUUUCCCAAACCAGCAUCAUCUCUUAACUGCAUCCUUCUAACCACAGAUAGAUGUAGCUCUCAGCCCUUGCUUGUCAAAGAAGCUUCAUGGCGCAGCCGGCAGAGACCAUCGCAGAAAUUUACAACUGGUCAAAAUGCAGAGAACAAAUGACCACGGGGUGCUGCACCCCAGCGGACACAUCUACAAUGCAACUCCUACACAAGGCUCAGAACACAUCCAGGAAGGAACAAUAUGGCUACCUAAAGGAGACCCGAACAAUGGCAACAACAGUUAGCACCCCAGUGUGGAUGCAAAGCUUGGCACAAAGCCACAGGUGAAGAACCACAGGCAAUUAGUGGCUCCCGAGAGACUUUGCUAGGGAUAGGUCCCCCACCCCCAUAGGUUUUUCAGCUCCAUGUGAUCGGUCCUAAACACAUGUACAUACAAGCAACACUAAGUGGACUCAGUAGGUUGGAUUUAUACACACACCAU